rnacentral:lncRNA from 1 species
GGCUGUUAGACUGAGGCAUGCAAUGAGGAGGUGGUUCUUCCCUUGCAAACGAAACUCAUCUUUACGGAACGACAUCUUUCAGGACUUCAAUUUUAAAACCUACGAAAAAUAAUAAGUUAAAGGAACCUGGAGAAGUGACUGGCCAAGCAGAAGCAAGGGACUGAGGUAAUGUGUGAGCAGACACUAUUAUGACUGGUAACACACGCAUAAAAGCACAAGGAAGAAUCCCAAGGGAGAAUCACGGAUCUGUGGAUGAGAGAUGAUGGUUGCCUUCCGGUGGUUGUUUGAAAUGGGUUUUCUGGACCGUUAUGAAAGAAUCAUGGCCACCAAAAUUCCCUCAUCUAAUCUACCUGAGAGAUACCUAUGGUGGCUCUCAAUUGGCUCUCAAGUUGAAUUCCAUUUCCUGAUCCUGGGUGGAGCAUACAACCUGUUUGUCCUAUCAUCUGGCGACGCACAUUUGUUAAUGUCAAGCUUUGGAAAGGUACUGUAUUUUUACUUCCUACAGCAUUAAAAAUGUUUGCUCCUUUUUCUUUAAUAUCUUUCUUAUGAAAUUUUUUCUCUAGACUGAAAUUUCCACCGACAUAGGAUUAGCUAAAAUCCUUUGUUAGGCACUUUUCUUACUACCUAUGAAACUAUUGUGUACUCCCUCCUCCUAAUUGGAAACCAUCCAUCU